rnacentral:rRNA from 1 species
CCAUGAGUACAGUGGCGACCGGGUGAGUAACACGUGACUAACCUACCCUCGAGUGGGGAAUAACUCCGGGAAACCGGAGCUAAUACCGCAUAACAUCGCAAGAUCAAAGCCGAAAGGCGCUUGAGGAGGGGGUCGCGGCUGAUUAGCUAGUUGGCGGGGUAAUGGCCCACCAAGGCUUAGAUCGGUAUCCGGCCUGAGAGGGCGCACGGACACACUGGAACUGAAACACGGUCCAG